CAUUGUACCCAUGUGGUGAUUCGAACCCGGGUCUUCGGCUUGGGAGAUGGGGUAAGUAUAUGGUGCAAUUACACUUUCUUUUGGGGAGUAGAGGUGGGUCAGGGUGUGGGUGUGGAUGUGGGUGUGGAUGUGUGAUUGUGGGUCAGGGUGGGGUGUGGAUGUGGGUGAGGAUGUGGAUGUGGAUGUGAGGAUGUGGGUGUGUGAUUGUGGGUCAGGGUGGU